rnacentral:rRNA from 1 species
GCGAGUGAAGCGGUAACAGCUCAAAUUUGAAAUCUGGGUCUUUCAGGCUCCGAGUUGUAAUUUGUAGAAGAUGCUUCGGGUGCGGCUCCGGUCUAAGUUCCUUGGAACAGGACGUCAUAGAGGGUGAGAAUCCCGUAUGUGAUCGGUUGCUUGCGCCCAUGUGAAGCUCUUUCGACGAGUCGAGUUGUUUGGGAAUGCAGCUCAAAAUGGGUGGUAAAUUUCAUCUAAAGCUAAAUAUUGGCCAGAGACCGAUAGCGCACAAGUAGAGUGAUCGAAAGAUGAAAAGCACUUUGGAAAGAGAGUUAAACAGUACGUGAAAUUGUUGAAAGGGAAGCGCUUGCAACCAGACUUGCGCGUUGCCGAUCAUCCGGGGUUCUCCCCGGUGCACUCGGCCUCGCUCAGGCCAGCAUCGGUUUUGGUGGUGGGAUAAAGGCCUUGGGAAUGUAGCUCCUUUCGGGGAGUGUUAUAGCCCUCGGUGCAAUGCCGCCUACCGGGACCGAGGACCGCGCUUCGGCUAGGAUGCUGGCGUAAUGGUUGUAAGCGAC